rnacentral:rRNA from 1 species
GACGAACCGUGCGAACGUUAUUCGGAAUCACUGGGCUUAAAGCGCGUGUAGGCGGGACGGCACGUCGGUCGCUGAAAUCCCCCGGCUUAACCGGGGAACUGCUUGGUAUACUGGCGGUCUUGAGCCAGCUAGGGGCUACCGGAACAAAUGGUGGAGCGGUGAAAUGCGUAGAUAUCAUUUGGAACGCCAAUGGUGAAAACAGGUAGCUGGGGCUGUGCUGACACUGAGACACGAAAGCCAGGGGAGCAAACGGG